GAUGAACGCUAGCGGCAGGCCUAACACAUGCAAGUCGAGGGAGGAGCUUUCGGGCUUCGACCGGCGUACGGGUGCGUAACGCGUAUACAAUCUGCCUUUCACAUAGGGAUAGCCCGAAGAAAUUUGGAUUAAUACCUAAUGGUAUAUAGAUGUGGCAUCAUAUUUAUAUUAAAGCUGAGGCGGUGAAAGAUGAGUAUGCGUUCUAUUAGCUAGUUGGAGAGGUAACGGCUCCCCAAGGCGACGAUAGAUAGGGGUUCUGAGAGGGAUAUCCCCCACACUGGUACUGAGAUACGGACCAGACUCCUACGGGAGGCAGCAGUGAGGAAUAUUGGACAAUGGUCGGAAGACUGAUCCAGCCAUGCCGCGUGCAGGAAGACGGCCUUAUGGGUUGUAAACUGCUUUUGCAGGGGAAGAAUAAGGACUACGUGUAGUUUGAUGACGGACUCUGCGAAUAAGCA
rnacentral:rRNA from 1 species